rnacentral:rRNA from 1 species
CGCCUGUUUAACAAAAACAUGUCUAUUUUAUUGUUAUAUAAAGUCUAGCCUGCCCACUGAUUUAGUUUAAAGGGCCGCGGUAUAUUGACCGUGCGAAGGUAGCAUAAUCAUUAGUCUUUUAAUUGAAGGCUUGUAUGAAUGGUUGGACAAAAAGUAAGCUGUCUCAAUUAUAAUAAUUGAACUUAACUUUUAAGUGAAAAGGCUUAAAUAAAUUAAGGGGACGAUAAGACCCUAUAAAGCUUGACAAUAAUUUAAUUAUACUAUCAAUUGUUAGUGUAACUUGGUUUUAAUUAAAAUUUGUUGCGUUGGGGCGACGAGAAUAUAAUAGGUAACUGUUCUUAAAUAUUUAAUAACAGAUAUAAUUGAAAAUUAGUGUGAUCCUCUAUUAGCGAUUAAAAGAUUAAGUUACUUUAGGGAUAACAGCGUAAUCUUCUUUGAGAGUCCAUAUCGACAAGAAGGUUUGCGACCUCGAUGUUGAAUUAAGGUAUCCUUAUGAUGCAGCAGUUAUAAAGGAAGGUCUGUUCGACCUUUAAAUCCUUACGUGAUCUGAGUUCAGACCGG